UACGUAGGGUGCAAGCGUUAAUCGGAAUUACUGGGCGUAAAGCGUGCGCAGGCGGUUCCGCAAGUCAGAUGUGAAAUCCCCGGGCUUAACCUGGGAACUGCAUUUGAAACUAUGGGGCUAGAGUGUGUCAGAGGGGGGUAGAAUUCCACGUGUAGCAGUGAAAUGCGUAGAGAUGUGGAGGAAUACCGAUGGCGAAGGCAGCCCCCUGGGAUGACACUGACGCUCAUGCGCGAAAGCGUGGGGAGCAAACAGG
rnacentral:rRNA from 1 species